rnacentral:lncRNA from 1 species
AUAAGUGCAGUUGUUUACGGGUUAAUGGGUAGCAUCAAUUCUAUUGUUAAGGGAUGUGUUGGUUGGAUAAAUUGGUGUUAUUUUUUGGUUUUUAGCUACUUAUUUUUAGUAUUUUAUUAUGUUUGACGGUGAUGUAAAUGCCCCAGAUUAGUAGUGAAGCUGUUUGUCAUCCGAGUGCACAUUUCGCACUAAAUCAGUGUAAGUAAUCUAGUU